GUGGGGAAUCUUAGACAAUGGGGGAAACCCUGAUCUAGCCAUGCCGCGUGAUCGAUGAAGGCCUUAGGGUUGUAAAGAUCUUUCAGCUGGGAAGAUAAUGACGGUACCAGCAGAAGAAGCCCCGGCUAACUCCGUGCCAGCAGCCGCGGUAAUACGGAGGGGGCUAGCGUUGUUCGGAAUUACUGGGCGUAAAGCGCACGUAGGCGGAUUGGAAAGUUGGGGGUGAAAUCCCGGGGCUCAACCCCGGAACUGCCUUCAGAACUCCCAGUCUUGAGGUCGAGAGAGGUGAGUGGAAUUCCGAGUGUAGAGGUGAAAUUCGUAGAUAUUCGGAGGAACACCAGUGGCGAAGGCGGCUCACUGGCUCGAUACUGACGCUGAGGUGCGAAAGCGUGGGGAGCAAACAGGAUUAGAAACCCGUGUAGUCC
rnacentral:rRNA from 1 species